GGGCCUGAAUUGGCUUCGACAGGGAUCUAGAACUUAUGACAGCCAUCCGUGGUCCGGGAUCACGUAAAAACUCGGAAAAAAAUAAACGCUGAUAAUAGAAAAUUAGCAAUCGCUGCCUAAUGGCAGCUGUCAGCCCGGAGUCAUCCGCUGCUUCGGAAUCUGGCACCGACUUUGCGGAGCACUUUUCGUUCAAAGCUUUGAGAAUGGAAAAGAACUCAUGAAGCUACUAAUACUGCAAAUUUGACAGUGGAUGUGCAGUGGAGGGAAUGUCAAAACACUAGUCUGUGAUGGGAGAGGUUGUAACGGAAGGGUUUCUGGACACGGGUUCGAACCCCGUCAGGUCCACU
rnacentral:tmRNA from 1 species